rnacentral:rRNA from 1 species
UACGAAGGGGGCUAGCGUUGUUCGGAAUUACUGGGCGUAAAGGGCGCGUAGGCGGCCUUCUAAGUCGAACGUGAAAUCCCUGGGCUCAACCCAGGAACUGCGUCCGAUACUGGAAGGCUUGAAUUCGGGAGAGGGAUGCAGAAUUCCAGGUGUAGCGGUGAAAUGCGUAGAUAUCUGGAGGAAUACCGGUGGCGAAGGCGGCAUCCUGGACCGACAUUGACGCUGAGGAGCGAAAGCUAGGGGAGCAAACGGG